rnacentral:misc_RNA from 1 species
GAUGAAGAACGUAGCGAAAUGCGAUAAGUAAUGUGAAUUGCAGAAUUCAGUGAAUCAUCGAAUCUUUGAACGCACAUUGCGCCCCCUGGUAUUCCGGGGGGCAUGCCUGUCCGAGCGUCAUUACAACCCUCAAGCUCAGCUUGGUGUUGGGCCCCGCCGCCCCGGCUGGCCCUAAAGUCAGUGGCGGUGCCGUCCGGCUCCGAGCGUAGUAAUUCUUCUCGCUCUGGAGGUCCGGUCGUGUGCUCGCCAGCAACCCCCAAUUUUUUUCAGGUUGACCUCGGAUCAGGUAGGGAUACCCGCUGAACUUAAGCAUAUCAAUAAGCGGAGGA